GAUGAACGCUGGCGGCGUGCCUAAUACAUGCAAGUCGAGCGAACAGACGAGGAGCUUGCUCCUCUGACGUUAGCGGCGGACGGGUGAGUAACACGUGGAUAACCUACCUAUAAGACUGGGAUAACUUCGGGAAACCGGAGCUAAUACCGGAUAAUAUAUUGAACCGCAUGGUUCAAUAGUGAAAGACGGUUUUGCUGUCACUUAUAGAUGGAUCCGCGCCGCAUUAGCUAGUUGGUAAGGUAAAGGCUUACCAAGGCGACUAUGCGUAGCCGACCUGUGAGGGUGAUCGGCCACACUGGAACUGAGACACGGUCCAGACUCCUACGGUAGGCAGCAGUAUGGAAUCUGCCGCAGUGGGCGAAAGCCUGACGGAGCAACGCCGCGUGAGUGAUGAAGGUCUUCGGAUCGUAAAACUCUGUUAUUAGGGAAGAACAAAUGUGUAAGUAACUAUGCACGUCUUGACGGUACCUAAUCAGAAAGCCACGGCUAACUACGUG
rnacentral:rRNA from 1 species